GACGAACCUUGCUAACGUUAUCCGGAAUUAUUGGGCGUAAAGCGUCCGCAGGUGGCACCUCAAGUCUGCUGUCAAAGACCGGGGCUUAACCCCAGAAAGGCGGUGGAAACUGAAGUGCUAGAGUGCAGUAGGGGUAGAGGGAAUUCCCGGUGUAGCGGUGAAAUGCGUAGAUAUCGAGAGGAACACCUGCGGCGAAGGCGGGUAGCUGGGCCGACACUGACGCUGAGGCGCGAAAGCUAGGGGAGCAAACGGG
rnacentral:rRNA from 1 species